UACGUAGGGUGCGAGCGUUAAUCGGAAUUACUGGGCGUAAAGCGUGCGCAGGCGGGGGUGUAAGGCAGGUGUGAAAUCCCCGGGCUUAACCUGGGAACUGCAUUUGUGACUGCAUCGCUGGAGUGCGGCAGAGGGGGAUGGAAUUCCGCGUGUAGCAGUGAAAUGCGUAGAUAUCGGGAGGAACACCGGUGGCGAAGGCGGCCUGCUGGACAGCACCUGACACUGAGACGCGAAAGCGUGGGUAGCAAACAGG
rnacentral:rRNA from 1 species